GAAAUGCGAUACUUGGUGUGAAUUGCAGAAUUCCGUGAAUCAUUAAAUCUUUGAACGCAAAUUGCACUCCUUGGUAUUCCGAGGAGUACACUUGCUUGAGGGUCAGUUAAAUAAAAUAUCGUUACAUCUUUUGGUGUUACGGAUCUGGGUUAUCCGGUUUUUAGUCGGUUACCUAAAAUUAAGGAUUAUAUAAUGUGAUACGUACUAAAGAUAGAGUCGUUAAUCAUUAAAGUUUUUAUUACAUUACCAACUAUUAUGUUUAGUAGUAGGAGUGUAUAAUUUUUGAAAAUGACCUCAAGUCAAGUGAGAAUACCCGCUGAACUUAA
rnacentral:misc_RNA from 1 species